CAAAACUACCCAGUUGGAAAUUAUUUUUGCCUAAAAAACGUUUUUUUUUCUUUAUACGUUUACCCUCAACCUUUUGAAUAUGCACCUCAACCGCUGACGAAUCGCACGAGGGCGUCAGUGAAGUCUCGUUCGAGGGGGAGGGAGAGGAGACCAGUUCUCGCGUGUUUUCCCUGUGGCCCUGCUCUCACAGCUGCGGAGGAAGAGCAGCAUAUUACAGUUUUUCAGCGUAUUCAUGAUGAGUUAUGCAGAAAAGCCAGAGGAUAUAACUAAAGAUGAGUGGAUGGACAAACUCAAUAAUGUACACAUUCAGAGAGCGGACAUGAAUCGACUAAUCAUGAAUUAUUUAGUAACAGGUAAAUGUUUCAGUUUGUUGAGAAUUAUUAACCAAUGUUUAGAAAAUAAACGUGUAUACAGUAAGUCAUUUGGAUACAUGUUACUCUACCAUGAAGUUAUCAUAUCUGUGCCUUGCUAAAUGUCAUAUUUAUCUUUAUGCAAUCUUAUUUUCUCCUUGUUUUGGACAUUCAAGGUAAAUGUUAGGUAACUUAACAAGACACUUUACUUUUAUUGUUGUAUGUAAAAGAAAAG